rnacentral:rRNA from 1 species
AAUGAACGUUGGCGGCGUGGAUUAGGCAUGCAAGUCGUGCGAGAAGCCCCCUUCGGGGGGUGGAAAGCGGCGAAAGGGAGAGUAACGCGUGGAUAGCUACCUUCAGGCUCGGGAUAGCUGCGGGAAACUGCAGGUAAUACCGAAUAACAUCUCCGGAUCAAAGGUGUGAUUCCGCCUGGAGACGGGUCCGCGUCCUAUUAGCUAGUUGGUGGGGUAACGGCCUACCAAGGCAACGAUGGGUACGGGGCGUGAGAGCGCAACCCCGCUCACUGGGACUGAGACACUGCCCAGACACCUACGGGUGGCGGCAGUCGAGGAUCUUCGGCAAUGGCCGCAAGUCUGACCGAGCGACGCCGCGUGCGGGAUGAAGGCCUUCGGGUUGUAAACCGCUGUCAGUUAGGAGGAAAUCACAUGGGGUUCUCUCCAUGUGUUGACCUAUCUUCAGAGGAAGGACGGGCUAAGUUCGUGCCAGCAGCCGCGGUAA